AACGAACGCUGGCGGCGCGUCUUAAGCAUGCAAGUCGAACGGCAAGAUUGGUGCUUGCACCGAUCCUAGAGUGGCGGACUGGUGAGUAACGCGUGGGUGACGUACCCUAAGGAUGGGGAUAGCUGGUAGAAAUAUCAGAUAAUACCGAAUAUCCUUAUUGUUGUUAGAGGACAGUAAGGAAAGGAGCUUUGGCUUCGCCUAAGGAUCGGCCCGCGUACUAUUAGCUAGUUGGUGAGGUAACGGCUCACCAAGGCGACGAUAGCUAUCCGGCCUAAGAGGGUGAACAGACACAUUGGGACUGAGAUACGGCCCAGACUCCUACGGGAGGCAGCAGCUAAGAAUAUUCCGCAAUGGAGGAAACUCUGACGGAGCGACGCCGCGUGGAUGAUGAAGGCCGGAAGGUUGUAAAAUCCUUUUAAGCAAGAAGAAUAAACUUUACAGGGAAUGGUAGAGUGGUGACGGUAUUGCUUGAAUAAGCAACGGCUAAUUACGUGCCAGCAGCCGCGGUAAAAC
rnacentral:rRNA from 1 species